rnacentral:rRNA from 1 species
AUUGAACGCUGGCGGCAUGCUUUACACAUGCAAGUCGAACGGUAACAGGGAGCUUGCUCCGCUGACGAGUGGCGAACGGGUGAGUAAUGCAUCGGAACGUACCCAGUCGUGGGGGAUAACGUAGCGAAAGUUACGCUAAUACCGCAUACGUCCUGAGGGAGAAAGCGGGGGACCGUAAGGCCUCGCGCGAUUGGAGCGGCCGAUGUCGGAUUAGCUAGUUGGUAGGGUAAAGGCCUACCAAGGCGACGAUCCGUAGCGGGUCUGAGAGGAUGAUCCGCCACACUGGGACUGAGACACGGCCCAGACUCCUACGGGAGGCAGCAGUGGGGAAUUUUGGACAAUGGGCGCAAGCCUGAUCCAGCCAUGCCGCGUGAGUGAAGAAGGC